GAUUCCUUGAAUUCAAUGUUUAUGAUAUCCUGAUCUUGAUUAACGGUAUGAUGACCAUAACAAGUUGUAUCUUCGGUGAAAAUUUUAAUGUUUUUCUGUUAUAUAAAGAAAAAAUAAGAAUAUCAUCUAUGUAAUGUAUACAAAAUUGAUCAAAUUUGUCUAGUAUACUAUUCAGAGCUUUAACUAAACUAGAACAAGCUGAUUGGAGUCCAAAUGGUACAACCAAGAAUUGAUAAACUUGUCCAUCUAUCAUGAAUCCGGUAUAUUGUUGUGAUUCCUUAUGAAGA